AGCGCCGCCUCCACCCCUCCCCAUCACCUCCUCUCCCGGCUCUAGAUCGGCGAUCACCCCAGCGGUGCCCCUCCUCCCCUCCACUGGCUUCUCCCACCUCUCGCUCCUCAGCCUCUCCUCGACCCCCAUCUCUCCUUGCGGGAUUUCUCUCGUCCGCCCGACCCGAUCUAGAUCGAUGGAGGUGCCAUCGCCCUUGUGCCAACGCCGACGCUGCCGUUCGGUCGCUGACACCGAUGUAUUUCGCCUCUUCCUCGAUCUGUCUAGUUCAUGCUGUGAAGAGCCUUCCGUGAGGGUGGUCUUCAUCGUCGUCAACAACGGCAGCUGCGGCUUCAGAAGGGCUUUGUGAUGCUAGGAUUCCCCUUAUUUCUGUAAUUUGGUGAAUGGAUUGCCACUAUAAGGUUGGCUGAACUGAUGGAUCGGUUAAACUAGAAGUAGAUAAAGAUUAGUUACUUUCUUGUCCCUGAACUUGUUGGAAUCUACCGAUUAGUGUAAUAUGCAUCAGUUUGUACUGUAAGGACACUAGUUUCUGUGGCAUACAAGUCAAUGUAUGCAAACCACAGGCUAUUAAGAAAUAGCUAGGCCUCACUAGUUCAUUAUCUAGCACCUACCGUGAGUCUCAUGCUCGUGCUGGAGCAAGUUUCUCCUGCUUAUGCUUGUUCUAAUUCAAUAGUUCUGAUGCAUAUCAGUUUUGGUGAUCUGGUGGGAUUUUGGCAACACUUGCUGCUGCUAGUUAAAUAAAUAAACUUUACACAUGAGUGAGUUGCAAGUUUAUUUCUGCUUAUCACAUUAGCUGAGAGCCUAUUCUCUGGGUUGAUAACAGAAGGGUCUCCCCUUGAACAAAGUCCGAGUCUUCUCCGACAACCAUACCGAGCUGCUACUCCUGGAAACGUCCUCAGAUCCUCAGAGUUGCUGCCAGGCUGCCACUGGCCACAACCCCAAGUUGCUUCUCCUGUCGUUGGCGAUGUCCCUAACCUGCGGCUGUUGUCUUCGACUGUGACAUGCUGUUGCCGGUGAGGCCCCUCUUCACAUGAAGGAAGCGAUGCUGUGAGGCCCCUCUAACAUGCUGCAAUCAGAAGAUUGUAUUCCUGAAUUCAAUUUUAUUUAUAUGUGCUUGACUUUCUGGUAUGUAAUGAUCUCAAUCCACUACUAAACUAUCUACUUAUUUUGGUACGAUCAGUUUAUAUUUCAGUGGUUCAAUUAUUGGGCUAGCUAGAAAUCAAUACACGUGUAUUUACAAAUCCAGCAAUCACAAGUACAGGAGCAACUAAAGUGCAUGCUGGCAGGCAACAUGGUCCGUGUGGGCUUUGUCGAUGGCUGCUGCCGCUAGUGCUGCCUUGAAGUCCAGUAGUAAUGUAAGAGUUGCCCCUGCAAGGUCUGCAAUGAGCAUAUGCAGAUUUUGCCACAACUUGCUUCUAAUUCCAUGUGCAUUCGGUUAAAUUUCAUGGCAGUUUUUCCACACUACUGUACCUGUACAGUAAUGCUAGAAUUGCAGCAGACCCCUGCCAAUCAUUCUUCUUGACUAUUUCCUUAGAUGUAAACUGUAGUCAAUCAAUAUACCAUGAUUUAUGUAAUGUUAUCGACCUUGAGUUACUUGUGUUAUGACAUACAAGAUGUGUGAUGGUGUUGUAGGCAGAGACAACAGCGCAGGUGGCGGUAGCACGAGAUGGCACAUCAAGAAGCCAGAAGCGGGUGCCCAUCAGUCGCAAAAAAUAACAGGGUAUAAAUUUGGUUUGAUGUGGCAUCAUAAUUCUUGAUGUCCUGAGCGAUUCUACAAGUGGGAGGCUUCCUAUGAAGAUUAUGUGAAAGAGAUAGCAAGGAAGGAGAAGAAUGUUGCCCACUCCAUGAAGAAUGAUGAUCAGAAGAUCACAAAUGAACAACUUUACGUGUUGAUGUGUGGAAUUCAGCAAAUAAAUGCUGAGAUAUUGUGUGUUGCUAACAGAAAUAGUGGGCAUUUCUGAUGUGUGCAUUGUUAACAGUGGCUAUGCUGAAAUUGAUGUAGUUUUGUUGUUUGGCAAAUGUUAACUUGUAGUGAUCUAUCAAGUAUUAUUGAAAUAAAGUGAUUUUGCGUA